rnacentral:lncRNA from 1 species
UCAUGGUUCAGUGACCACUUGAAAAAAAAGUUCAGAAUUUUUGUAACGUUGAAUUCUCUCUUAUUAUAAGUAAUAGGAUAACUAUAUUUGGUAUAUGCAUACCUUGCAAGGUCCUCAUGCCCGUCAGACAGUUUUCACUUGACCUCGACCUCAUUUCAUGGAUCAGUGAACAAGGUUAAGUUUUGGUGGUCAAGUCCAUAUCUCAGAUACUAUAAGCAAUAGGGCUAGUAUAUUUGGUGUAUGGAAGGACUGGAAGGUGUACAUGUCCAACUGGCAGGUGUCAUCUGACCUUGACUUCAUUUUCAUGGUUCAGUGGUUAUAGUUAAGUUUUUGUGUUUUGGUCUGUUUUUCUCAUACUUUAUGCAAUAGGUCUACUAUAUUUGUUGUAUGGAAUGAUUGUAAGGUGUACAUGUCUAGCGGGCAGAUGUCAUCUGACCUUGACCUCAUUUUCAUGGUUCAGUGGUCAAAGUUAAGUUUUUAAGUUUUGAUCUUUUUAUCUAAUAUUAUAUGCCAAAGGUCAACUAUAUUUGGUGUAUGGAAAUAUAUUAUGAUCUAUAUGUCAGUCCCGCAGGUUUUAUUUGACCAUGACCUCAAUUGCACGGUUCAUUGGACAGUGUUAAGUUUUUGUGUUUUGGUCUAUUUUUCUUAAACUAUAAGUAAUAGGUCAACUAUAUUUGUUGUAUGGAAGCAUUGUUAGCUGUACAUGUCUGCCUGGCAUGGUUCAUCUGACCUUGACCUCAUUUUCAUGGUUCAUUGGUCUUUGUUUAACUAUCUUGUUUAAUGUUAAGUUUAUGUGACAGUUGUAAUAACGCUUUAUACUUAGGACUAUCAACAUAAUAUCAAUGAUUAGUAAAGAAGGCGAGACAUUUCAGUGUGUGCACUCUUGUUAAUUGUUUCAGAAAG